CGAUGGAAGGAGGCGUGGAAGCCGGCCGCAAACGGCCCGAGGGCGGCGGUGCCCGUUCGGCCCCCCGGAGGCUGCGCGCCUCGACACCACCCACUCUUCCCUGCUGCUCAGAAAUCCAGAAAUGAGAGCCUCACUGUUGGAAAGUUGUGUCCACUUAUUUACCAUGUCCAGCCACCUGCUGCUUGAUCCAGCCCACAAGGUACGAAAGGGAAAACAAAAUUUUAACAAGGAAGAAGAAGUCUCAGUUCCCACCUUGGACUUAAUGUGGAAGGAUCUUUGUCCUCCUACUGCAAUUUGCUUUUUCAUGACACUGAAGUGAUUGAACCGACAAAUAAGAAGGCCAGCACUGUGGACACGCAAGUUGAAGUCAACAUCAUCACAGAACUUCUGGAACAGAGAAAUAAAGUAAGCAGAAUGAGGCCAAACAUCCUUGAGCUGAAUUUGACCUAUUUCAACAAUAAGACGGAACAGAAGGUAAACUUCUAAAGCUGACAACAUUUAAAUCCUCUGGCCUUUGGAAAAUUCAGCCUCAGUUCUCCAUUUGGAAUGCAGAUUUGUACAGCAAACAGGAUGAUGUGCAGAACUGUGGAAUUAACAUCCAAGGCUUGGAUUUAAAACAGCGAAGUACUUACUGCAACAACAGACAUCAGUAAGAAAAAUGAUAUUUUAUUGUAUGUU